rnacentral:rRNA from 1 species
GUGCCAGCCGCCGCGGUAAUACGGAGGGUCCGAGCGUUAUCCGGAAUCAUUGGGUUUAAAGGGUCCGCAGGCGGUCAAUUAAGUCAGAGGUGAAAUCCCAUAGCUCAACUAUGGAACUGCCUUUGAUACUGGUUGACUUGAGUCAUAUGGAAGUAGAUAGAAUGUGUAGUGUAGCGGUGAAAUGCAUAGAUAUUACACAGAAUACCGAUUGCGAAGGCAGUCUACUACGUAUGUACUGACGCUGAGGGACGAAAGCGUGGGGAGCGAACAGGAUUAGAUACCCUGGUAGUCCACGCCGUAAACGAUGGAUACUAGUUGUUGGGCAUUAGCUCAGUGACUAAGCGAAAGUGAUAAGUAUCCCACCUGGGGAGUACGGUCGCAAGACUGAAACUCAAAGGAAUUGACGGGGGCCCGCACAAGCGGUGGAGCAUGUGGUUUAAUUCGAUGAUACGCGAGGAACCUUACCAGGGCUUAAAUGUAGUCUGACAGCUUUAGAGAUAGAGUUUUCUUCGGACAGAUUACAAGGUGCUGCAUGGUUGUCGUCAGCUCGUGCCGUGAGGUGUCAGGUUAAGUCCUAUAACGAGCGCAACCCCUGUCAUUAGUUGCCAGCAUGUAAAGAUGGGGACUCUAAUGAGACUGCCUACGCAAGUAGUGAGGGAGGUGGGGAUGACGUCAAAUCAUCACGGCCCUUACGUCCUGGGCCACACACGUGCUACAAUGGUAUGGACA